rnacentral:rRNA from 1 species
ACACGUACUGUGCGAACGUUGUUCGGAAUUACUGGGCUUAAAGGGUGCGUAGGCGGACAGUCAAGUCGGGUGUGAAAUCCCUCGGCUCAACCGAGGAACUGCGCCCGAAACUAAUUGGCUUGAGUGAGAUAGGGGUGUGCGGAACUUCCAGUGGAGCGGUGAAAUGUGUUGAUAUUGGAAGGAACACCGGUGGCGAAAGCGGCACACUGGGUCUCAACUGACGCUGAGGCACGAAAGCCAGGGGAGCGAACGGGAUUAGAAACCCCAGUAGUCC